GAAUGACGAACAGUCUAUUUUCCAAACUUACCCUUAGUAUUUUCCCACCAUUCUUUCCUGUUCCUCCAGUGUGUCUCUACUUAGAUUCCUUUAACUCAAGAUGUUCCAGCCUGACCAGCCCAGAGACCUUGUGUCUCACUUCAGUGAAUCUCCAUUGCCAUAGGCCAGGCAGCUGAGCUGUUCAAGGCAGGCCCUGCACAUCCCUCCACCACUCAUCACCUCAGCACAGAAAUACAAACCAUCUUCUGUUUUCAUGGUCCUUAUUCACACUUCCUACAUCCCCCAAGCUCCCUUUACCUCAGUCCAGUUGCAUCUCACUCAAUAAGAAGUCGCUUCCAUCAAGAAGAGGACUCCAACCAGGCAUGGUGGGAGGGAAAGAAAGACUGUAAAUCCAGCACUCAGGAAGAUUGAGGCAUGAGGAUCAUAGGUGCACAGCCAGCCUGGGCUAAACAGGAACCCUAUCUCAACACAAAAGUACCCAAGAGUUCCAGUUGGCUGGGCUGUGCCAAGAGGUCCUUAUCCUUCAGCCUUGGGAAUCAUGCUCUGCCUAAUGACAGAUAGUACUUUUAGUAUCAGUGCAUCCUGGGGCAAGGUGGGCACAGAGGGUACAGACCCUGAAAGCUAAAGGUAUGUCAGGGACAGACAGAGAAGGGGCACUGGUGGUAGGAGCCUACUGAUUUAGUGUCAUGACAACCUCUACCUCCUGACUGUCAGGAGGCAGGUCCUGUCAGGCAAGGAAAAGAUGUGUGUGUCAGUCAUGUGACAUGCUCAGCUGACAGUCUUUUAUCAGAAUAGCUUUUCCAGUCAAAACACCACAGUGCUGAGUGAGUGAAACACCACACUCGGAACUGUUUUGCUACUUUGAGUACACUUAACGCAGGCUUCCUUUUCCCUACAAUAGCUGAGGUCUGGUGUAUAUUUAAAAGGAUCCUGACUCAACUCAUCAAAUCAUACAUAGCAAUUAAAAGAAUUACCUGCUAAGAAUGCAGACACAUAGCUAUAGAAUUUUAAUUUCAAAACCCAACUAGUAGGUCGGUUAGUGACUUUCCUUUGUGUUUGUUGGGGGGUGGAUAGGAGGUGAUGCCUUGACUUUUCAGCUAUCCCCUUCUGAACUGAUUUGCACUGUGAAUACCCUUGUUUUAGAGGGUAUCUAUACAGACAUCAAUAAUUAAAAUACUACUCAAACACUA